rnacentral:tRNA from 1 species
GGGGCUAACUCCACUGGGUGAGACGCCUGCUUCUAACGCAGGCGCGCUGCGGUUCGAUCCCGCAUAGCUCCACCA